AGUUCACAGUGUUAGCCUGCUGGCUGUGAGCACACCUCUUGACCCUCACAGUGAGGACCCAGUGGGGUUCUAGAAGUUGGAAGAUGAGCUCUUGGGUGUUCAGACUUUCCCAUACUCCUUGUCACUGGUGCAGAGGACCAAUGGCACAGCUCAGCAUGGAACUAUGCUUACCUUUCCUAGAGUGCCAGGAAGUAGCCCCGCGGUGCCCGCCGCUGAGCUCAGUGCCCCAGCACAAUGACUUCAAGCUGAAAGGGAUUCCCUCCCUUUCUCCCAGGGCCAGAGGGAUGGACACCUGCCCCACAAUGGCCCUUCCCCCCCAGGGGCCCUUUAUGUCCUCCCACUGCUAUCAUUGAUGCUGGCUUAUGCA
ensembl:processed_transcript